rnacentral:rRNA from 1 species
CCUACGGGUGGCAGCAGUGGGGAAUAUUGCGCAAUGGGCGAAAGCCUGACGCAGCGACGCCGCGUGCGGGAUGAAGGUUUUCGGAUCGUAAAACUCUGUCAGCAGGGAAGUACGGUCACUGUGCUAAUCAGCAGUGAAUUGACGGUACCUGCAAAGAAAGCCCCGGCUAACUCCGUGCCAGCAGCCGCGGUAAUACGGAGGGUGCGAGCGUUAAUCGGAUUUACUGGGCGUAAAGCGCUCGUAGGCGGUAUGUCAAGUCAAGGGUGAAAUCCCCGCGCUCAACGUGGGAACUGCCUUUGAUACUGGCAAACUGGAGUGUGUGAGCGGAUAGUGGAAUUCCAGGUGUAGCAGUGAAAUCCGUAGAGAUCUGGAGGAACAUCAGUGGCGAAGGCGACUAACUGGAAUAUAACUGACGCUGAGGAGCGAAAGCGUGGGUAGCAAACAGGAUUAGAUACCCUUGUAGUC